AGUCACUGACAUUAGACUACCCCCGUAGUCCCAGCCGUAAACUAUGCGCGUUAGGUGUAUCGGUGACCACGAGUUACCGAGGUGCCGAAGGGAAACCGUGAAACGUGCCGCCUGGGAAGUACGGUCGCAAGGCUGAAACUUAAAGGAAUUGGCGGGGAGCACCACAACGGGUGGAGCCUGCGGUUUAAUUGGACUCAACGCCGGGAAGCUCACCGGAUAAGACAGCGGAAUGAUUGCCGGGCUGAAGACUCUGCAUGACUAGCUG
rnacentral:rRNA from 1 species